CAGAGGCCUGGAGAUGACGCAUAUGUUUGCAACAGGGGAUCUCAGGAGGAGAGGCCCUGCAGGCACCUGGCUACCUGGGCCUGAAGAGGAGCAGGGGAGAUGAGUUUUGUGGGAGUUGACAGCGGCCAGGUGCGGUGGCUCAAUUUCCUGACCUGCUCCAUGGAAGGUGACCUAAUGGUGGUGACUGCGGGAGGAGCAGCAGCAAUAGCAGGAGUGGUACUCAAGUUCUGGAUGGCUAUCAUAAUGGAAAUAAAUCUUAGUCCACACACUCUUCAUUAACCUGACAAGAACUUAGGACUGCAGGACAAGAACUCGAGACCCACACAAUGGGCCUCUGAGCAAGUUCCUGUGCCUGUUUCUUUCAACGAGGAUAACUACUUCCACCUGCCUUUGUAAUUUGUUCCUGGGACAAAGAAAGCCUCUUGAGGAGGCUGGCCUGCCCUGCAUAUGUUGGAUAAACGCUUGAAAUAUGGACCUGUCCCCAUCUCUCGCCUUUCCCCGGAAUUCAGGACUGAAUGGAUGCUGCCUGCAUUUUGGGGAGUGGGAGUUUUGCUUUUCCUUUGCUUUGCUACUUACUCACUCUGAUGAACAAGGAGGAGACUGACAGCUUCACAGUCCUGGAUCAUUUCCUGCCCUGUUCUCCCAUCCAGCUCAUGGAAGUCAGCAACUCCAUCCACUCAUUGCACAGAGACCAGAAAGGGGAAGGGAUUUUCUCACUGUCUCACAGCAACUAAUGGCCAAGCUGUGGUGGGCGUCUUGGUGGUCUGAUUCCAAUUCAAGUUGGAGUGAGAGAGUGAGAAGAUUAUGGGCUGUGGCCUCAAGCCAACCAGGGUCUAAACCCAGCAUUGCCUCUGGCUUACUUGUGUCUCCUCUGCUUCCUCAUUCUUAGAAUGGAAAUCAUCAUCAUCAUCUCAUAGAAGUGUUAUGGGCAACAGACAGGAUAAUGUACAUGAAGCUCAUACAGCCUUAGGAUUAAAACCAGUGAAGACCCAAACGACUGUACCUGGGAAUUUAAGAUAAACAGGGUGUGUUACUGCCUGGCACAAACUGGGAAUUUGUGCAAAGGUAAGAUACCAAGCAGGACAGUAUUUCUCCUUGAGGGACCGUGAAAUCUUCUCAUCAUUUAAGCUUAUGAAACGAGGUGGAGCCUCAUUUCUUAAAGGGGGAAAUGCAAAUCAAAACUACCUGGGUAUCAUAUGAAAUUAUACCUUGAUAAAGCUGAUUUUUAAAACAUUACCCUGAGAAUUGUAAAGAUCAACAGUCCUGAUAACAAGCCAGGCAUCGUGGCUCAUGCCUGUAGUUCCAACUACUUGAGAGGCUGAGGUGGGAGGAUUGCUGGAGCCCAGGAGUUUGAGGCCAGCCUGGGCAGCAUAGCAAGACCCUCUUAAAAAAAUAAAAUCCUGGCCAGGCGCGGUGGCUCAUGCCUGUAAUCCCAGCACUUUGGGAGGCCGAGGUGGGCAGAUCACGAGGUCAGGAGAUCGAGACAAUCCUGGCUAACACGGUGAAAUCCCGUCUCUACUAAAAAUACAAAAAAUUAGCCGGGCAUAGUGGCAGGCACCUGUAGUCCCAGCUACUCGGGAGGCCGAGGCAGGAGAAUGGUGUGAACCCAGGAGGCGGAGCUUGCAGUGAGCCAAAAUCGCGCCACUGCACUCCAGCCUGGGUGACAGAGCGAGACUCCGUCUCAAAAAAAAAAAAAAAAUCCUGGCCAGUGGCUCACACCUGUAAUCCCAGCACUUUGGGAGGCCAAGGCAGGAGGAUCACUUGAGGCCAGGAGUUCGAGACUAGUCUGGGUAACAUAGUAAGACCCCCUUCUCUACAAAAAAAAAAAAAUAAUAAUAAAUUAGCAGCCGGGCACAGUGGCUUACACCUGUAAUCCCAGCACUUUGGGAGGUCGAGGCAGGUGGAUCACGAGGUCAGGAGAUGGAGACCAUCAUGGCUAACACGGUGAAAGCCCGUCUCUACUAAAAAUACAAAAAAUUAGCCGGGUGUGGUGGCGGGUGCCUGUAGUUCCAGCUACUCGGGAGGCUGAGGCGGGAGAACGGCGUGAACCCGAGAGGCGGAGCUUGCAGUGAGCCGAGAUCGCGCCACUGCACUCCAUCCUGACUCCAGCGAGACUCUGUCUCAAAAAAAAAAAAAAAAAAAUCUGCCAGCCACGGUGGUGUGUGCCUGUUUUCCCAGCUACUUGGGAGGCUAAGGCAGGAGGAUUACCUGAGCCCAGGUGGUCGAGGCUACAGUGAGCUAUGAUCCCACUCCAGCCUGGGUGACAGAGUAAGACCUCAUCUCAAAAAAAAAAGAAAAAUAAUCCUGAUAACAGAUGGUUAUCAAAGGGCAUAGGGAAGCGGAGGUAUCCAGUGGUGCAAGCUCUGUGGAAAGCAAUUUGGCAAGAUUCAUCAAAAUUAGUAACAUACAUGCCAGUGGGUCCAGCACCGCGGUAUUGCACCAGUGGUAGACAGCUGUGGACUGCUGGCCCUCAGGUGCGGCGACCACACCAAAUUCAAUCAGCUGUGGCCAGGAGCAUGGGGCAGGGGCAAUUUCACUUAAAACAGGAUAGGAUUAGCCAGUCUUGGUGGCAUGUGCCUGUAGUCCCAGCUACUCGGGAGGCUGAGAUGGGAAGGAUCACUUGAGUCUGGGAGGCAGAGGUUGCAGUGAGCGGAGACUGUGCCACUGCACUCCAGCUGGGGCGACAGAGUGAGACUCCAUCUCAAAAACAAAAUAAAAUAAAAGGUAUAAAUGACAUCCAAUAAACUUCACAUAUUUAAGCUGUAGUAUAAGUCUUGUGUUUCAUGUAAUCCCAUGAAACCAUCAUCAGAGUCACAAUAAUGAACUUAUCUAUCACCUUUACAUUUACCUGGAGCCUUUUAUAAAGUCUUUCUCUCUGCCUUCCAGAUAACCACUGAUUUACUUUGCUGUACAAUAGAGUAAUUUCCACUUUCUGGAAUUUUUGGACUGAUGUAAUAAAGUGUUUCCUCUUAUAAUCCCUGGGUGCUCUGUCAUCAUGCUUAUUUUGAUAUUAUCAGUGUAGACAUAUGAAUUGUUCAUUCUUUUUACAUUGCUGAUAAAUACACUCUGCUGUAAAAUGUCAUUGUAUAUU
rnacentral:lncRNA from 1 species